AUGGUGAAUCCCAGCCCUGUGACUCCGGGGGCACCCUUUGAACUGUCGCAGCCUGCAGUCAUUGAGGGGUUUAGCCCCACUGCAGCAAUCCAGAAGGUUUCAAGGAAAAGUUCCUUUGCAAAGACAUGCAAGAACCCAACAGUACCCAUAGGUUGCCUGAGCAAGGCCAUCACCCUUACCUACAGCCUCUUCUACUGCUUCUACCAGGGCCAUAGCCAGUGCUUUCAGCUCAUGACACGCACCUGCAUUACCACUCAGGGCUUCACAGUCACAGCAAUCUUGCUGCAUCUGCUAUGGAGUCUUGACCCCU
rnacentral:lncRNA from 1 species